rfam:Populus trichocarpa isolate Nisqually-1 chromosome 8, whole genome shotgun sequence.
AUGUUUUAGAAACGAGCACGUAAAGCACUCGCCCCUGACAUGGAUGGGAACGGCCUUCCGGCUUACCUGUAACAACACACUCGGUUGAGGCUGCCACAGUUUUGGUGGUUCUUCAAACCCAAUUUUUUA